rnacentral:rRNA from 1 species
AGAAUCAACGCUGGCGGCGUGCCUAACACAUGCAAGUCGAACGGGAAAGUGGAGCAAUCCAUGAGUAUAGUGGCGCACGGGUGAGUAACACGUGACUAACCUACCCUCGAGUGGGGAAUAACUCCGGGAAACCGGGGCUAACACCGCAUAAUAUCGAGAGAUCAAAUGCGAAAGCAGCUUGAGGAGGGGGUCGCGGUUGAUUAGUUAGUUGGCAGGGUAAUGGCCUACCAAGACGAUGAUCAAUAGCCGGCCUGAGAGGGCGCACGGCCACACUGGAACUGAAACACGGUCCAGACUCCUACGGGAGGCAGCAGUGGGGAAUUUUGCGCAAUGGGGGAAACCCUGACGCAGCAACGCCGCGUGGAGGAUGAAGUCCCUUGGGAUGUAAACUCCUUUCGAUCGGGAAGAUAAUGACGGUACCGGAAGAAGAAGCCCGGCUAACUCUGCGCCAGCAGCCGC